UACGUAGGGGGCAAGCGUUGUCCGGAAUCAUUGGGCGUAAAGCGCGUGUAGGCGGUUCGGUAAGUCGGCUGUGAAAGUCCAGGGCUCAACCCUGGACAGGCGGUGGAAACUACCAAGCUGGAAUACGGUAGGGGCAGAGGGAAUUUCCGGUGGAGCGGUGAAAUGCUUAGAGAUCGGAAAGAACACCAAUGGCGAAAGCACUCUGCUGGGCCGACACUGACACUGAGAGACGAAAGCUAGGGGAGCAAAUGGG
rnacentral:rRNA from 1 species